UACGUAGGGGGCAGGCGUUGUCCGGAUUUAUUGGGCGUAAAGAGCUCGUAGGUGGUUCGGUAAGUCGGAUGUGAAAUCUCCAGGCUCAACCUGGAGGGGUCAUUCGAUACUGCCGUGACUAGAGGUCGGUAGGGGAGUGUGGAAUUCCUGGUGGAGCGGUGAAAUGCGCAGAUAUCAGGAGGAACACCCGUAGCGAAGGCGGCACUCUGGGCCGAUACUGACACUGAGGAGCGAAAGCGUGGGGAGCGAACAGG
rnacentral:rRNA from 1 species